rnacentral:misc_RNA from 1 species
GAUGUGCCUCCAUAUAGAUCCAUCACAAAUAUACCACCCUUCUUGUUCAGAGCACUUAAGGCAUGUUUGAAGUAUGAAACUAGUUCUUGGCGAGUAUGAAGGCAACAACAACUGUAGUUAAAAGCACAAACUAUAUCUCUUGCAGGAAAUUGAAAAUCCUUCAUCAAUUUGUGAUCAGGAGAAUCAUCUUCACUAUCUCCUAGUGUUACAUUUUGCAUGAGAUUUUGAGUAGAGACAUUAACCAAUUUGGCCUCAAGAGGUUGCAACACAUUACCAUGAAACAGAAAUAUUCUGGAAGAGACAUCAGCACCAACUUUGU